rnacentral:rRNA from 1 species
UACGUAGGGUGCGAGCGUUAAUCGGAAUUACUGGGCGUAAAGCGUGCGCAGGCGGUUCGUUGUGUCGGCGGUGAAAGCCCCGGGCUUAACCUGGGAAUGGCCGUUGAAACUGGCGGGCUGGAGUGUGGCAGAGGGGGUGGAAUUCCGCGUGUAGCAGUGAAAUGCGUAGAGAUGCGGAGGAACACCGAUGGCGAAGGCAGCCCCCUGGGCUAACACUGACGCUCAGGCACGAAAGCGUGGGGAGCAAACAGG